rnacentral:rRNA from 1 species
GGAGUUUGGGCCGUGUCUCAGUCCCAAUGUGACCGGUCACUCUCUCAAGCCGGCUACUGAUCGUCGCCUUGGUGGGCCGUUACCUCACCAACUAGCUAAUCAGACGCAGACCCAUCGCAAAGCGAUAACUUACAAGUAGAGGUCAUCUUUAACAAUACUUUCAUGCGAAAAUACUGUAACAUUCGGUAUUA